UAAUACGAAGGUGGCAAGCGUUGUUCGGAUUUACUGGGCGUACAGGGAGCGUAGGUGGUUCGGUAAGCCCUCCGUGAAAACUUCAGGCUUAACCUGGAAAGUGCAGAGGGGACUGCCGGGCUAGAGGACGGGAGAGGAGCGCGGAAUUCCCGGUGUAGCGGUGAAAUGCGUAGAGAUCGGGAGGAAGGCCGGUGGCGAAGGCGGCGCUCUGGAACGUUCCUGACACUGAGGCUCGAAAGCGUGGGGAGCAAACAGGAUUAGAUACCCUGGUAGUCCACGCCCUAAACGAUGGAUACUAAGUGUCGGCGGGUUACCGCCGGUGCCGCAGCUAACGCAGUAAGUAUCCCGCCUGGGGAGUACGGCCGCAAGGUUGAAACUUAAAGGAAUUGACGG
rnacentral:rRNA from 1 species